GCGCACAGCACAUCCACACGUCCCCGGAGCAAGUGGUGAGACCGAGGACGGGAGAGGAGAGGGAACUAUACUCGCGCACCCGUCAAACUAUGGAUUGUAUCCUUUCACCUGAUUGACUAUUUAACUAUUUACUACUUCAGGACAAUUACAAGACGUAAAAUGUACUGAAUAGGAUGCGUUGCAUCUAAGUGAAGGCUUUGGGGUGUAUGUCAGUCACUACGGUUGUGAGAAACAAUCAAUAAUAGCCUGUGAUUUUAAAGCCAAUAGAAGAGGUAGAAUAGGAAUGUUAAUUCAUUAUUUAAAAUUGUUCUUUGGUUGGCUAAUGAGUCAUCCUAUUAUACAUGAGCUCCAGACUGGAGAGGUUCUCCACAAAGUUGUGGGAUGAGUGACACUCGCUAACCGUGACCCAUGAAGGAAAGGGCCAACUCUGAAUAUGGAAAUUAAAAUCUGACAUUAAGAGCCAUGCUGUAUGUCCAUUAACACCGUAAUUAAUUUUAACCUAAUUCAAACAACAAUGAGGGAAUGUCCAAAAACUAAUUAAUUUGAAGGGAAGUGUUGUAAAGAAAUAGAGCGUGAGACGGAGAGAAGGAAAAACAAUUAAUCUGAUGAGAUGGUAAAGGUCCUUGUCGGGCCGUGAGGGGCUGUGUGUGAGCUGCUGUCCCUGGAGCUCUGCAGGGCCCUGUGGGUGAGGGAGAGGAUGGGUCUGACAUUGUAGCAGAGGACAGAGAUAAAAUGCUAUCUCUCCUACAUACAGUAUACACACACACGCACACACACACGCACACACACACACACACACACACACACACACACACACACACACACACACACACACACACACACACACACACACACACACACACACACACACACACACACACACACAGAAGCAGGUGCAAAGGAUCCUGCUACAGUGUAAGAGGGGAGAAUUAACCAACAUGUGUGAGAUUUCACACGUGUACUCAUCCUCAAAUUAAUUAAUGAUAUAAUAAACUUUUAACUGCCAAAUGCCUGACCCCGACCUUUGACCAGUCUAAACUAAGUCUUAAUGCCAAAGCUUGAGGUAACCACAUGUUUUUCCCUAGAUGGAAGAUGCAUUCCCAGUGGUGUGUAAGUGUGUGUGUGUGUGUGUGUGUGUGUGUGUGUGUGCGUGUGUGUGUAUAAAUAGACUUGAAUAAUACACAGUAUAGUACACAGUAAUGCUUCAGCCAGCCUAUACAGAAGCACGUAGAAGCUUCUAGUUUGAGCUUCUGCGGUCAGUUUAUCUCUGAGUAUUUUUUUUCAGUAUUUUAGAUAUUCAACUCUGCCUCUUAAAUCUUCAUGGGACGCUUAGGUUAGUCCUGUAUGUGUGAGUGUGUGUAACGGUGUGUAGUCACUUGAAUAGAAGCCUCUACUAAUGAAUACACAACAGAGUGUUGUGGUGCACCUGUACAUGCGAGAAGGGCUCUUAUAGUUUCCAAACAGCUUUUCUAGAAUAGCAGAGGAAACAGACAGAGGCACAUUCAAAUGUUUCACAUCGCCUCUGCUCCCCACUCUCGCCUUGCAUGCUCGCAUUAGACAGUGGGGGUGUUGCAACAGUAUCGGGGACGGAUGCUAAUUGCAGUUUUCACACUCAUAAUGUCUCAACGUUUCUUUUCAGUUUUGCCCCUUGUUUUUUUAAUCCAAAUCAUUUGGAUGCAGUAUACAACAUCCACAUUGCGCUCUUAUCAAAAGCUGUUGCUUAGUUCCACGAGAAGGCGCGAAGUCCCAGAGAAGUGCAGUUAAUCAACAGUUACAGAUCAAACCGAGCCCUGUCAGCCAGAAGAGGUGAGAACGCUGUGUUCACAAAUAUAGUCUUCACAGAAACGGCAGCUUUCCCACCGUAUUAGCACAAUAAUACGACCAUUUUAAAACGUGGCUGUGCCAAUUGCUUUCAGCUUACGUCGGACACAGUGUGUAUAAAAAUAAAGGUAGCAGUGGAGGUGACCUAGUGGAAACUUAAGAUGUCACAUGCAUAAUGGGUACUGACGGACCCAAAGCCUCAACAUCUUUCUUCAGAAAGCUCAGAUCUCUUUUUCUUCCGCUGUCUCUCUGACCUCCAGAUGUUCUUUAGUGUUUGUCUGUUUUCUCUCCACACCUCUCUUCCUCUGCCUCUCUCUAAAAACCCUGUUUCCAUGCCUCUCCCGCAGGGCACAGCAUGCCUUGCCAGGGGCAUAUUUAGUAUUUAUGCCACUUAAAAUGAAAAAAAAAAGACAAAAAGAAAUUGCUUUUGCAUCUGUUACAAAUAUAAAUCCCUUGUAAAUACAGCUGCACUUUCUACUAAACAAAUUAGGUUUUCAAUCUAAUGCUACUAACACAUUGUGCUGUAUAGUUCGACCCUGUCAAUCAUGCUGUGGGAGGAAGAAAACAGUAGAAACAUUCAGGCUUCUUGUCGAGACUGUCCCCUGCUCACAGGACAGACAGACAACUGGUUGCCAGAGGAUGAGUGGGAGGAAAGAGAGAGAAGAGGCAUUCAGGAGAGUGAUAGCUAAAAUGGAAAAGCAUGAAUAGGGAGCUCAAAGACUUCACAGCACAGAUUCCUGGAUGCUUUGCUUCUAUACGAGUUGAGAGACCUUUACUGUUGCCCAUUUGUUGGUCCACUGCUACUUGUGAAGAGUGCACGCUAGCCAAAGUGUUGUUGGAGCUUAGUCGGCCAAUCAGUCCUCAUUUCCCCAGGCGCCUCUCUGUCUCCUCGGGCGAAUGGCUCAGUCUGUACGCCACCCGUCCCGCAUCCCCCCUUUCAGAAGUAAACAGACCGAGGUGACAAAACAAGAGCACUUCUUUGUGGUGGUUGGGUAAGGAGUUGAGGGUUGUCUGACACUCCCAGCCGUAGGCCCCCCUUUGGCAGGAAAAUGAGGAAAGUGGUGAGGACUGAACAGAUGCAAUAAACGAGACCUGAGACAUUGACAACAGGACCCAGAAUGCUGUGUACUAGGUGUACAGACAGAGAAGGUCACGACGGUAUGAUCUGGAGUUGAAACAGUUCUAAAUAUAUUUUUGCUUGUGUUUUUGGUUUUAGAAAAAGUUUAAAAAAGUAAAUUCCUCCAAGCAUUUUAUUACUUUAACUGAAACACUUUGCACACCAGACAUUUAAAAACAUUUAGAACUUGAACUUUUUACAGAGCUCAAGUGUAAAUCUCCGAACCAGCCACAAGUGCUGAGAUGGAUAGCUUAUAAAUGGUGGUGAGCAAAGAGAUCUAAAUGUCAAAACUUGACAUACCAAACUUUCUCACAUCAAGUGCUGUCUAAUAAAUCUAGGCUUCAUAUGGUUUCUGGGACAUCACAUUUGAGUUUUCGUGUGUGUCUUAGAAACCAUCCAUCUUCACUGCCAGUAAUAAGUUCUGGAAGCUACCGGUAUCUUAUAUGCGUGAAAGCCAAAAGAGAGCUGUCCCAUGUUUGAUGUACAGAAAGAACAUCAGAAAUUUGUCCAAUUUGUUUCCUUGCCUGUCGUAUAAUUGGCCUCCCGUCAGCCUGUGCAAUAGCUUGAUCAAUUGAAAUUCAUUUAAAAGCCAGUGAAGUUAAGAUGGAGACGUCUGUGUCUGAACACUGAAGGAAACCCCAGAUGUUUGAUAACAAGAAGCUGAAACAGAGAGAUUAACACAAAGAAGAAGAAGAAGAAAAGGUUAUUCUAAAAAAGGGAUUUUCUUCAGCGUGACAUCUUCAACCUUCCACAGGGUGUGGAGGUUGUGUCUGGUGUGUGUGUUGUGUUCUUCCCUCACCUGUGCAUGCUGCAACCUGUCAUUUGCAACCAGAAUGAUGACAAGCGUCUAUUCAUCCUCCCACACGACACUUACCCUUUCUAAUCAGGGAGGAAGAUGUAAUUAAUGUUGUUACCGUCAUGUGUCGGGAAUGCCUGGACCUCAAUCUCACGCUGAGAUUUCCAGCAGCGAUCAUAAUUAUUCUGUUUGCUGUGGGACUCCCAGGGAAGGGGUCUGUCUGUGUUUAGCCUGCCCAGGGACAGAGCUCCUCCGAGGGGCUACCGGCUUCUGCCACUCUCUCUGUGGUUCUGGGAUCAGCAGGGUACAGGGGAUUACAUGGCCACAUAGUAGGGAAGUGUGCUCUCCGCUCAAGCACACAGGGUUUAUGAUUUGUUCUCCAAAUCCAGAAAUAAAAAUAUCUAUUGAAAUAGUCAGAGACAUUCUUCUUUAUUAAUCUCAUUCACGUUGAGGAAUCUCAGGGUUGCAAUGUUCCUCACCUGCUUUCAGACAAGAGGAUUAUUUGAUGUUUCAAUUGAUGUAUUUGAAAGACACAGACGCACGCGCAAAAUAAUACUGAUCUAAAUCCACGUUAGCUGCAAUAUUUAGCAGGACUAAGGGGAGAAGAUGUGUACUCGUUUGUCAAACAGCCUCAUGAAUCUUUUCUUCACAAUGAUUCCAGGGCAAGGGCGUGUUUCAUUUGAGAUGCUCUGACAUGGUUGUGCCUGACAGUUAUGACAUGUGUCGUGUCUUAUGUUGAAACUGAGACAGCGAGAAAGGAUACGGGACUGAUUGGUACAUACUGGGUCACUGUGAAGCUCCAGGAAUCCAUGUUUAAGGCUUUCCCAAGGCUUCAGAGCACACACACACACACACACACACACAAUAGGAAGACCAUUCACAGUAUAGCCUAAUAGAAUAAUGUUCCUGUUUUUUUACAAUUGUAAUUAUGUUUAAUUAACUUGAAUAAUGUGCAAUAUAAGAGCAUUGAUAAGAAUCCCCCCGCCACUAGAAGAUUUCUUUAUAUUGCUGUAACGCAGAGUGAAACAGAAUUUAAAAUUGGGGUCUCUUGAAAAAUUGUGUUAAACUCGGGUUUGAUUUUAUAUUGUUCGAAUUCUGUUUGUAUUGUGUAUGUUAAACAAUUAUCUGAAAUUGAUAAUGAAGUUGAAUUAUAUGCUUUACUUUAAUUAUUUUCCUUCUCUCAAGAAUUUGAACAACUAUAAACCAAGAAUUACUUGGCGUCUAUUUAUAAGAAUAUUUUGUAAAUUAAGUGUCAUUAAUUCAAAAAUAAAAAUAAAUAAGCUAUUGUAUACAUUUCUACAUUUUGAGAAAUGUGCUUAUUCUCUUUGUCUGAGAAGAGUUUUUAUGUUUUCUUUUCACUCAUUGAGAAUCGACCACCUUCAUUGGUUCCCAUGAUUUUAUUAGUUGUGUCUUCUCCCCGUGACGGCUUUGAGUAGCCCUGGAAAAACUGCAGUCAUUUAUGAGUCUUUCAUUAUAGAUUAUUGCUUGGUUGAUGAAAGUCUCACAAACAUGUAUGUGUUAUGAUGUCACUGUUGCAUUUCUCAUGCCUUAAAAGGUCUGUGCAAGAGAAACUGCAAUCUACAAGCCAUUAUAUCAUGUAUACCUGAAUCUCGGUAUGAAUUGCAUCGGCAUGUAAAAGAUGUCUUUCCUCUGUCUUCUACUGGUCUCCUGUCAAUCACUCUGUAAUGCAAUCUUUUCAGAGUGAAGAUUAAAUGGAUGGCCUGAAGGCUACAUGAUGCAUUUAGAGUGCUGGACUUGUUAUAUUCAUAUUGAAUGGCUGUAGCUGACUGCACCUUCCUUCCUCUUUGUUUAGCACACUGUAUCACCUCAUAACACUUCUUUGCUUGUUUAUUGAUCUGACUUUCUGUCCUUAUAGUGUUAGCCUAUGACCCAUGCUUAUAUCCUAAUCUUUUCGGCCUGAAACAAAAAAGAAUAUUUAACUAUUAAUAUAUAUAAUCACAAUUUCUUUAAGUUUAUGCAGUUGUCUGAUUUAUCUGUUAAAACUUGGUUUAAUGUGUAGUCUGUGUAACUUGAAAAGCUAAACUGUGGGGUCACUUAUGGUUCACAACCAACGUGCUAUAGCAACUGUAAGCUGUUUUGAUGUACAUCAAAUUAACAUUAAGAGCUUUUACUUCUGAGGACACUGAAUCUGAAUACUAUUUAUCCAGGAAUCCAAAUCACCAGCCUAUCAAGGAAUUACAUGAAAGGAACAGUGAAGCUAUUUCCACCUCAAACCUGGACACUGCUCACCUUUAAAAAGAUGGAUUGACAAAUAUGUCACUGAAUGGGACUGAACGAGAUCCAAUAGGACAACGGAGAGAAAUGCAACGUUGCAUGUGCAUUCAUCAACAGCCCAGAGGCUCCAGGAGGCGGAGUGAUUGACAGGCCUUUGCUUUGUCGUCGCUAUAUAAUACACCUCCCACCUCUCCCGUUGCCAGGGUGACAGAUGGGGUUUCUCUGCAAAAACACUCCAUCUCCAUUUCUGUCACCUCAGAUUGGUGAGCGAGAGGAAAGGAGGAGGGGUAGGUGAGACUCGGUCCAUCCUACACUUCCUGUGACAAAUGACAGCGAUGCAGACAAACAGUGUACAGUGAGUGUUCGUUUAUGUUUCAGACUGUGACAUGUCUCGUAGUCUAUCACACUCUGCUCAACACCUAUCUUGCACACUAUUCUCCAGCUGGAUCGUUAGCUGACAUAAAAAGCAGGCCGGGGCCUGUGAGGGCCUGUAAUACACCCCCACACCAUACAGGCCUCUUUAACACAGUGCUGUGGCUGCCUGCACUCUCGGAGGAAGGAGUCUUUGAUUCAAAACCUAGAACAGGUCGGAAAACAGCCUGCAGGCAGCUACUUCUCCAGCUAAAGUGACUCUCAUUUUGUUUAGCGCCCUUCUUUCUUCCCUCUGUCGGGCAUUCUCUUUGUCACUAAGCAUCAGCUCUGACAUUGUUGCUAUGAGCACAGUUCACAAUUCACACAAGCUGUGCCCAUGGCACAAUUGGGCCAAUGCCAAGUGAGAUGGGUGACAUCAUCCACUGUGCUUGUCGCCAAUCCAAUCAGGCUCCCAGACACCAGUGUGCAGCCUCGGACAUGAUUAGUGUUGAGUCCAUGACAUCAUCCUGUCCCUACGGAGAUACUGACAUCAUCAUCAUCAUCAUCAUCAUCAUCAUCAUCGAGUCGAAUAUUAGAAUCGCUGGUGUCUAAUAAACUGUUUCCGUGUCUUCCCUCCUGGGGAUCACACUCCUGAAAGGAUUUGGGCAUGCAUCAUGAUCCAGGUGUGAAGGAUGACUCGUAUCUUGACUGUCUCCAAGCUGGAUCAUUCAAACUCUCACACAUGCAUGUGUGAACCUGCGAAAAGGUAAACAUGCACACCUGCUUUCUUUGUUUUCUGGCAGCUCUCCUACACAAUCCUUUCCAAUCCAAUGCAGUUGGACCCA